rnacentral:rRNA from 1 species
GGCGUCGAGUAAUGGCAUAGGAAUCUGCCCGGUAGUGGGGGAUAACCUGGGGAAACUCAGGCUAAUACCGCAUACGCCCUACGGGGGAAAGCAGGGGAUCUUCGGACCUUGCGCUAUCGGAUGAGCCUAUGUCGGAUUAGCUAGUUGGUGAGGUAAUGGCUCACCAAGGCGACGAUCCGUAGCUGGUCUGAGAGGAUGAUCAGCCACAUCGGGACUGAGACACGGCCCGAACUCCUACGGGAGGCAGCAGUGGGGAAUAUUGGACAAUGGGCGAAAGCCUGAUCCAGCCAUGCCGCGUGUGUGAAGAAGGCUUUCGGGUUGUAAAGCACUUUCAGUGAGGAAGAACGCCUUGGGGCUAAUACCCCCGAGGGAAGACAUCACUCACAGAAGAAGCACCGGCUAACUCCGUGCCAGCAGCCGCGGUAAUACGGAGGGUGCAAGCGUUAAUCGGAAUUACUGGGCGUAAAGCGCGCGUAGGCGGCGUGAUAAGCCGGUUGUGAAAGCCCCGGGCUCAACCUGGGAACGGCAUCCGGAACUGUCAGGCUAGAGUGCAGGAGAGGAAGGUAGAAUUCCCGGUGUAGCGGUGAAAUGCGUAGAGAUCGGGAG